AUAGCUAAGUAGACCUAUUGGCCUACAUUAUGUUUUCAUAUCAAUUUGUUUGGCAUCUAUGUCGAAUAUGGCAGGGGGAGCCAGGUAAGGAGUUGGACACAUCCUUCAUAUCCAAGCAAAGGGAUAACAUUGAUUACUUUUGACUGAACCUUAGAAACUCUGCUUCUAUAGCCUAUAGUAAGAAGGUGUGAUGGGAGUUUUAAAAUCUGUUAUUAAUGACACAUCCUGUGUUGACAGUAUUCAGUGUACUUGUUGGUUUAUGGACUGGACACAUUAACUGCAGGAGGAGAGUGCUGUUGGGUAAUAGGCAAAAAUCAAGAGAGGCAGAGAUCUGCACAUCACUGGCUUACAGAGCGGACACUACCUCACCCAGAUAACGCACGUGUCCCUCAGGCACAGAGAACCAUGGCAUUUACAGGGUUGCUGAGAGAGGAGGACAUCAGGGCUGCCGUCAAGGCUUGUCAAGGUGAGUCAAACACGUGAACACACCAUUACACACACACACACACACNNNNNNNNNNGAGAGUGCUGUUGGGUAAUAGGCAAAAAUCAAGAGAGGCAGAGAUCUGCACAUCACUGGCUUACAGAGCGGACACUACCUCACCCAGAUAACGGUUAGUACCAGCCAGUCUUUAGAGAUAUAUUAUGCGUAGAUUUUUUUGUUGCAGUUCUGUAGGGAUUGAUGUAUCUUUCUGUGUAUUAAUGAGUGUUUUUGUGCAUCUCAGGGUUUUUAAAGGUGAUCCAAUGUAAUUUGGUCUAAUGCAACAAAAAAUAGGACAUGUGCAGACGCNNNNNNNNNNAAUUUCAUUGAUAAUAAGUUAAAUACAUAGCUAUAUCUACAGGCUAAAUGAAAAUGCCCGCACCGCAAACAUUGUAUUAUGACUAAACGCGUUGGCUAGCGUCAAUAGCAACGACAAGCUAACAUGAGCUAUCAAUGCCUCAAACAAUGCCGUUUCAUUAUCCAUGAAAAAUAGAAAAGGUCUAUUACCUUUCUAGAACAAUAAUAUUUAGAUAAAUACGCUUUGCCGGCAGUGCUCUACAUUUAUUCACACGUAAUAUUUUAUCAAUAGUCCAAACUGUCAGGCACCACCUCUCCUCAGAGGCGCCAUGUUCCUACAACGUCAUAGCAUGGGGGCGUGCAUAUUGAGACAUAUACAAUAGCGAAUCACAACCCAUUAAUCUGUAUUAAUGUACCGAUAUGACCAAUCACUAUCAUUCUUCGAAUUUCCCUGUCCACAUCCAUUGCUUUGUGUCAAACGUAAAGCGAGAUGCGUUUUUAGACCAGUCACUUGACAUGUGAGGUAUGCAAGCAAUGUUCCGGUGCUUUAUGAAAGAUGAACUACUCUACCUGCCUGAUUUAAUGGACUUGUAGGCUAUACAUCCAGUGUUUCCCCUAUAAUUGUUAUUUCUUAGUGGAGUGCAAAGGUCUUGGAAAGUUAUGCCUAUCAUAUCAAAUUUUAUUGGUCACAUGCGCCGAAUACAACAGGUGUAGACUUUAGAGUGAAAUGAUUACUUACGAGCCUAUACCCGACAAUGCAGAUUUAAAAAGUAAGAACAGUAUUUGCUAAAUAAAAAAAGUAGAUAGGAACACAAUAAAAACAAUAACGAGGGUAUAUACAAGGAGUACCUGUACCGAGUCAAUGUGCAGGGGUACGAGGUAGUUUAGGUAAUUGAGGUAACACAGUAUGUACUGGCAGGUAGCUAGUGAUAAAAGUGACUAGGCAAUCAGGAUAUAUAACUGUGUAGCAGCAGUGAGUGUCAUCAUUAUGCAUGUGUGUGAGUUUAUGUAGUAUGUGUGUGUUGGAGUGUCAGUGUAGUAUGUGUGAGUUUAUGUAGUAUGUGUGUGUUGGAGUGUCAGUGUAGUAUGUGUGAGUUUAUUGUAGUAUGUGUGUGUUGGAGUGUCAGUGUAGUAUGUGUGAGAUUAUGUAGUAUGUGUGUGUUGGAGUGUCAGUGUAGUAUGUGUGAGUUUAUGUAGUAUGUGUGUGUUGGAGUGUCAGUGUAGUAUGUGUGANNNNNNNNNNUACCUUUCUAGAACAAUAAUAUUUAGAUAAAUACGCUUUGCCGGCAGUGCUCUACAUUUAUUCACACGUAAUAUUUUAUCAAUAGUCCAAACUGUCAGGCACCACCUCUCCUCAGAGGCGCCAUGUUCCUACAACGUCAUAGCAUGGGGGCGUGCAUAUUGAGACAUAUACAAUAGCGAAUCACAACCCAUUAAUCUGUAUUAAUGUACCGAUAUGACCAAUCACUAUCAUUCUUCGAAUUUCCCUGUCCACAUCCAUUGCUUU
rnacentral:lncRNA from 13 species